UGGUCCUUUAAGAACAGUCCUGUGAGGCUGGAAAGGUAACGGAAUAUACAUGCGAGACAUGUAUCUUAUACCCCUUUUCUGCCUCUGUGCAGAAAAGGGGUUUUUAA
rfam:Halobacillus mangrovi strain KTB 131, complete genome.